GACGAACGCUGGCGGCGUGCUUAACACAUACAAGUCGAACGGAAAGGCCCUGCUUUUGUGGGGUGCUCGAGUGGCGAACGGGUGAGUAACACGUGAGUAACCUGCCCUUGACUUUGGGAUAACUUCAGGAAACUGGGGCUAAUACCGGAUAGGAGCUCCUGCUGCAUGGUGGGGGUUGGAAAGUUUCGGCGGUUGGGGAUGGACUCGCGGCUUAUCAGCUUGUUGGUGGGGUAGUGGCUUACCAAGGCUUUGACGGGUAGCCGGCCGGAGAGGGUGACAGGCCACAUUGGGACUGAGAUAAGGCCCAGACUCCUACGGGAGGCAGCAGUGGGGAAUAUUGCACAAUGGGCGGAAGCCUAAUGCAGCAACGCCGCGUGCGGGAUGACGGCCUUCGGGUUGUAAACCGCUUUCGCCUGUGACGAAGCGUGAGUGACGGUAAUGGGUAAAGAAGCACCGGCUAACUACGUG
rnacentral:rRNA from 1 species